GAAGUUUUCAGAGAUGAGAAUGUGCCUUCGGGAACCGUGAGACAGGUGCUGCAUGGCUGUCGUCAGCUCGUGUUGUGAAAUGUUGGGUUAAGUCCCGCAACGAGCGCAACCCUUAUCCUUUGUUGCCAGCGGUCCGGCCGGGAACUCAAAGGAGACUGCCAGUGAUAAACUGGAGGAAGGUGGGGAUGACGUCAAGUCAUCAUGGCCCUUACGACCAGGGCUACACACGUGCUACAAUGGCGCAUACAAAGAGAAGCGACCUCGCGAGAGCAAGCGGACCUCAUAAAGUGCGUCGUAGUCCGGAUUGGAGUCUGCAACUCGACUCCAUGAAGUCGGAAUCGCUAGUAAUCGUGGAUCAGAAUGCCACGGUGAAUACGUUCCCGGGCCUUGUACACACCGCCCGUCACACCAUGGGAGUGGGUUGCAAAAGAAGUAGGUAGCUUAACCUUCGGGAGGGCGCUUACCACUUUGUGAUUCAUGACUGGGGUGAAGUCGUAACAAGGUAACCGUA
rnacentral:rRNA from 1 species